rnacentral:rRNA from 1 species
GAUGAACGCUAGCUACAGGCUUAACACAUGCAAGUCAAGGGGAAACGAUAGAGAAAGCUUGCUUUUUCUAGGCGUCGACCGGCGCACGGGUGAGUAACGCGUAUCCAACCUGCCCAUCACUUGGGGAUAACCUUGCGAAAGUAAGACUAAUACCCAAUGACGUCUCUAGAAGACAUCUGAAGGAGAUUAAAGAUUUAUCGGUGAUGGAUGGGGAUGCGUCUGAUUAGCUUGUUGGCGGGGUAACGGCCCACCAAGGCGACGAUCAGUUGGGGUUCUGAGAGGAAGGUCCCCCACAUUGGAACUGAGACACGGUCCAAACUCCUACGGGAGGCAGCAGUGAGGAAUAUUGGUCAAUGGACGAGAGUCUGAACCAGCCAAGUAGCGUGCAGGAUGACGGCCCUAUGGGUUGUAAACUGCUUUUAUAAGGGAAUAAAGUGAGCCACGUGUGGCUUUUUGCAUGUACCUUAUGAAUAAGGACCGGCUAAUUCCGUGCCAGCCGCCGCGGUAA